UACGAAGGGGGCUAGCGUUGCUCGGAAUCACUGGGCGUAAAGCGCACGUGGGCGGCUUGUUAAGUCAGGGGUGAAAUCCUGGAGCUCAACUCCAGAACUGCCUUUGAUACUGGCGAGCUUGAGUUCGGGAGAGGUGAGUGGAACUGCGAGUGUAGAGGUGAAAUUCGUAGAUAUUCGCAAGAACACCAGUGGCGAAGGCGGCUCACUGGCCCGUUACUGACGCUGAGGCACGAAAGCGUGGGGAGCAAACAGG
rnacentral:rRNA from 1 species